GACGAACGCUGGCGGCGUGCUUCAUACAUGCAAGUCGAACGAGAAGCUGACUUCGGUCAGUGGAAAGUGGCGGACGGGUGAGUAAUAUGUAGGAAAUCUGCCUUUAGGAGGGGGACAACAGAGGGAAACUUCUGCUAAUACCCCAUAUGAGCGUAGCUGAAAUGCUAUUCUUGAAAACUCCGGUGCCUAAAGAUGAGCCUGCAUCUGAUUAGCUAGUUGGUAGUGUAAUGGACUACCAAGGCGACGAUCAGUAGCUGGUUUGAGAGGAUGAUCAGCCACAAUGGGACUGAGACACGGCCCAUACUCCUACGGGAGGCAGCAGUAGGGAAGUUUGCGCAAUGGGCGAAAGCCUGACGCAGCAACGCCGCGUGAACGAUUAAGCCCUUCGGGGUGUAAAGUUCUGUCAGUGGGGACGAAACUUGACGGUACCCACAGAGGAAGCACCGGCUAACUCCGUG
rnacentral:rRNA from 1 species